rnacentral:rRNA from 1 species
UUAGCUCAGUACCGUGGAUAUCUGCCCUAUGGUGGAGGAUUACCCCGGGAAACUGGGGAUAAUACUCCAUAAGUCAGGAGUACUGGAAUGUCUCCUAACUGAAAGUUGCGGCGCCAUAGGAUGAAUCUGCGGCCGAUUAGGUAGUUUUUGUUGUAACGGCCCAACAAGCCCGUAAUCGGUACGGGUUGUGGGAGCAAGAGCCCGGAGAUGGAACCCCCCCCCCCCCCCCCCAGGCCCUACGGGGCGCAUCAUGCGCGAAAACUUUACAAUGCAGGAAACUGUGAUAAGGGAACCCCGAGUGCCCGUAAACGCGGGCUGUCCCGGUGUUUAAACACAUCGGAAAGCAUGGGCCGGGCAAGACCGGUGCCAGCCGCCGCGGUAAUACCGGCGGCUCGAGUGUUGACCACUCUUUAUUGGGCUUUAAGCGUUCGUAGCUUGAUUUUUAAGUCUCUUGGGAAAUCUCACGGCUUAACUGUGAGGCGUCUAG